GAUGAACGCUGGCGGCGUGCCUAAUACAUGCAAGUCGAGCGAACGGACUAGAAGCUUGCUUUUCUGAUGUUAGCGGCGGACGGGUGAGUAACACGUGGAUAACCUACCUAUAAGACUGGGAUAACUUCGGGAAACCGGAGCUAAUACCGGAUAAUAUUUUGAACCGCAUGGUUCAAAAGUGAAAGACGGUCUUGCUGUCACUUAUAGAUGGAUCCGCGCUGCAUUAGCUAGUUGGUAAGGUAACGGCUUACCAAGGCAACGAUGCAUAGCCGACCUGAGAGGGGGAUCGGCCACAUGGGAACUGAGACACGGUCCAGACUCCUAAGGGAGGCAGCAGUAGGGAAUCUUACGCAAUGGGCGAAAGCCUGACGGAGCAACGCCGCGUGAGUGAUGAAGGUCUUCGGAUCGUAAAACUCUGUUAUUAGGGAAGAACAGAUGUGGAAGUAACUGUGCACAGCUUGACGGUACCUAAUCAGAAAGCCACGGCUAACUACGUG
rnacentral:rRNA from 1 species